AACGAACGCUGGCGGCAUGCCUAACACAUGCAAGUCGAACGAGACCUUCGGGUCUAGUGGCGCACGGGUGCGUAACGCGUGGGAACCUGCCUUUAGGUUCGGAAUAACUCAGAGAAAUUUGAGCUAAUACCGGAUAAUGUCUUCGGACCAAAGACUUAUCGCCUUUAGAUGGGCCCGCGUUGGAUUAGCUAGUUGGUGGGGUAAAGGCCUACCAAGGCGACGAUCCAUAGCUGGUCUGAGAGGAUGAUCAGCCACACUGGGACUGAGACACGGCCCAGACUCCUACGGGAGGCAGCAGUGGGGAAUAUUGGACAAUGGGCGAAAGACCUGAUCCAGCAAUGCC
rnacentral:rRNA from 1 species